rnacentral:rRNA from 1 species
CCUACGGGUGACAGCAGUGAGGAAUAUUGGUCAAUGGACGAGAGUCUGAACCAGCCAAGUAGCGUGAAGGAUGACUGCCCUAUGGGUUGUAAACUUCUUUUAUAUGGGAAUAAAACGUUCCACGUGUGGGAUUUUGUCUGUACCAUAUGAAUAAGGAUCGGCUAACUCCGUGCCAGCAGCCGCGGUAAUACGGAGGAUCCGAGCGUUAUCCGGAUUUAUUGGGUUUAAAGGGAGCGUAGGUGGAUUGUUAAGUCAGUUGUGAAAGUUUGCGGCUCAACCGUAAAAUUGCAGUUGAAACUGGCAGUCUUGAGUACAGUAGAGGUGGGCGGAAUUCGUGGUGUAGCGGUGAAAUGCUUAGAUAUCACGAAGAACUCCGAUUGCGAAGGCAGUUCACUGGACUGCAACUGACACUGAGGCUCGAAAGUGUGGGUAUCAAACAGGAUUAGAUACCCUGGUAGUC